rnacentral:misc_RNA from 1 species
AUUUUUUGGAAGGGCAAUGGGAAGGGAAGCAUCAUCUGUUAAGGAAUCGAUCGGCGCAAGAGAUGAUGUUGAAGUAGGCGACGAGUCACUGGGAACAGUUUGUGGACCGUAUCAUGAGAAGAAACAUCAAUUGGAUUAGCAGGCGGAGGAUUUGUUUGAGGUCAUCUUGAGUAAACCUGAAGUGAGGAGGAAUCUUUGGGUCAGGAAGAGUAGGAAUAGGUAGAUUUGUGGAGAU